rnacentral:rRNA from 1 species
AUGUUGCCGGCUGGCAUCAAGUUUGAUCCCACGGAUCAGGAGCUGAUCGAGCACCUUGAGGCCAAAGUGAGUGCUGACAGCGCGAGAUUUCAGUCUCUCAUCAAUUUGUUCAUACCAACCAUCGACAGCGAGCACAGCAUAUGCUACACCCAACCUGAGAAACUUCCAGGUAUCACACUGAGUGGCCUAAGGAAGCAAUUCUUCCAGCGCAAUUCCAGGGCGUUCAAAAGGGGCACGUGGACGCGUCGCAAGAUACAGUCAGAGUGCGGCAUGCACGCGAUGUGGCACAAGACCGGCUAUACCUUGCCGGUGAUGGUCAACGGCCGGCAGACGGGCAGCAAAAAAGGUUCUGGUGCUGCACACCAACAAGAACUUCGACCAGCAAAGGACCAACUGGGUGAUGCACUAGUACCACCUCGGGGACCUAUAGCAAGAGAAGGAGCGGGAACUGGUCCUCUGCAAGAUUUUCUACCAGACGAACACUAG